rnacentral:rRNA from 1 species
UACGGAGGGUGCAAGCGUUGUCCGGAUUCAUUGGGUUUAAAGGGUGCGUAGGCGGACUUAUAAGUCAGUGGUGAAAGCUCAGGGCUCAACCCUGGAUGUGCCAUUGAUACUGUAGGUCUUGAAAGCAGUCGAGGUGGCUGGAAUGUGUAGUGUAGCGGUGAAAUGCAUAGAUAUUACACAGAACACCAAUUGCGAAGGCAAGUCACUAGGCUGUGUUUGACGCUGAUGCACGAAAGUGUGGGGAGCAAACAGG